GGUCAAGCUACUAAGGGCAUAUGGUGGAUGCCUUGGCACGAGUAGGCGAUGAAGGGCGUGGCUAGCUGCGAUAAGCUUCGGGGAGCCGCUAAGCAGGCUUUGAUCCGGAGAUCUCCGAAUGGGGCAACCCGAUCCUGGUAAUUCGGGAUCAUCUCACGCUGAAUUCAUAGGCGUGUGAGGCGAACGGGGGGAAGUGAAACAUCUCAGUACCCCCAGGAAUAGAAAUCAAUAGAGAUUCCCUCAGUAGUGGCGAGCGAAAGGGGAAGAGCCCAAACCGCUGGAAGCAAUUCCAUCGGGGUUGUGGGGCUGCUUUAGGGUGUAGCCCGGGAAGUUACCAAGUCAGGUCAUAACUGAAGGCUCCUGGAAAGGACAACCGAAGAGGGUGAUAGUCCCGUAAGUUAAAUGACUCUGGCCUUCCUGAAGGCAGUUCCCGAGUACCGCGGGACACGGGAAAUCCCGCGGGAAGCCGGGAGGACCAUCUCCCAAGGCUAAAUACUAACUCGUGACCGAUAGUGAACUAGUACCGCGAGGGAAAGGUGAAAAGCACCCCAGUGAGGGGAGUGAAAUAGUACCUGAAACCAUGUGCCUACAAGCAGUGGGAGGGCUAUGUCCCAAGCUUCGGCUAGGGAUAUGCCUGACCGCGUGCCUUUUGCAUAAUGAGUCUGCGAGUUACUCUACGCAGCAAGGUUAAGCCGACUGAGGUGGAGCCGUAGCGAAAGCGAGUCUUAAAUGGGCGAUUUGAGUUGCGUGGAGUAGACCCGAAGCGGGAUGAUCUACCCAUGGCCAGGGUGAAAUUUCGGUAACACGAAAUGGAGGCCCGAACUGGUGAAGGUUGAAAACUUCUCGGAUGAGCUGUGGGUAGGAGUGAAAGGCUAAUCAAAUUCCGUGAUAGCUGGUUCUCCCCGAAAUAUAUUGAGGUA
rnacentral:ncRNA from 1 species